CUUCUCCAGCACGUAAUCCAGUUCUCAUUGAUUUCAAGAGCAGUUGUUUCAUCUGAUCACUAGCUAUUAAAAAGCUUCCAAAGUCAUAAAAAAAUAAAUAAAUAAAAACCUGACGCUCUGCUAGGAAUAAUUUUUGUUUUUCUCGCAGACUGCAACAGUAACAACAAUUAUAUAUAAACAUGCAUAUAUACAUAUUUCCUUUGACUUUUAUAUCUUUAAUCAUCUGGAGUUCUUCAAGCAUUUUAUACAGGUGAGUAAAAAAUAACCUUUGUUUUGCAAGCACAAAGGGGAUACACAGUCGAAGCUGAGAGAAAAAGGAGGAAUAUAAUGAAUUUUCUGCUGAGAUUAAAAAAUAGUAAAAAUAACCUUAUUAUAUGAAACAUGUUCUGGGUUUCUUUGACCAAAGAACACUGUUUACAGCCUUUUCACCCUUUUCCAGCAUCAUGAGUCUCCUUGAAAGAAGGUGUGAACAUAUAUGACAUCCUGAGCUGUAUCCUCAGUGUUAAGCUAGGCAAUUGGUAGAGUAUCAGGCAUGUGUUCUCUCUGUACCAAGAGGAUGAUUUUUAGGGCUAUUGUCUAUAAUAGCCAGUUUCCAAUUCGCAUGCUCUCAUCUGGUGUGCUGGGUGCUGGUACGCACUGCCAGCACUGCCCCCGCUGCCUAUGCCCAGGCUGUGCAGACCAGCAGCAUUCCCAUCCACGGGCAGGCAAAAGUGGACUGCUGAGGCAUGUUACGCGCAGAAGCUCCCCCAUUGGCUUGCACGGGCACCACCAAGCUGUCCCUUGUCAUCUGCCCAUGUGGCUCAUAUGCAGCUCACCACACUGCUAGGCAGAGACUGCUCUUCCACAGCAUGCUGCCAUGGUCCUUCCCCUCCCAAAAUGUGUCCUUGCCCAUGCGGAACUAGUGGUGUCUACAGGGAUGAGGAUAGAUGAUGAACCAGCCAAGUCUGAAGGCAUUAGCUGGUUGAUUAAUGUGGCAGGAUGCUGGUUAGUAUGCAUCUGAUGCUGCUGGAAACACCUGAUUUUUCUGUCAGCGUUAAUGCUUCUUAUUUGAGUGGUGAAUCUUGCUGUGUGCAUGUCUUCCUGAAUCAUUGUAGAAAGUGUUCUCUCCUGUGCAAUGGCUCCCAAAUUUGUAGCUGUUUACACACCGGGGACAGGUGCUCAGAUCUUCUCUGGUCUCCUUUGGCCUAUGUAAAUUUUUUUGGAUGUGAUCUUGUGAUUAAAAAUAAACUUUCAUGUAAGCAGGUUCCUGGGGAAGUAUUUGGCUAUUCUGUAGAAUUACAGUUAAUUCUAAAUAAGGAACACUUUAAAACUAUUAGAAGACAGACAUUCUAGCAGUUCUACAGAUGAUUAAAAAGCCAUUUUCUAAAAUAUUCUCACUGGAGGGUUUUUUUUCCUUUCUUAAAGAAAACAUUUAAUUGCUCCAAUCAACCAUAACUACUUCCUGCUUAUGAUGUAAUUUGUAUACGCUGGUCACAAGGUACAUGGCUAUUUUUCAUAAUUCUUUAUGAGUGUAUUCCCUGCAGUUCCUAUCAGUCACCUUUAAUUGACUGUAAUUCACUGGUCAUUAAAGAAGGAGAGACCAAAAUGAGGUGAAAAGAGAAGCACUCAGUGAAACCUUCUUAGCGCCAAAAUCUUAUCUGGCAUUAUCCACAUGUAUACAACAAAACCAAGCAAAAGAAAGCCUUGGAAGCAUAUGCCACCAAUGCAUGUUAACACUUGAGAAGGUAAAUAGCUCAAUUUGAUCUUCAGUGAUCAAGGAGUGGGGCUUCUCUUUGGAUCCUGGGAGAUGCAGAUAAAAAGCACCUGUACCAUGGGGUAAGGGCAGCCAUUCCCUCCACACCACUCCUUGAGGACAUAAUAUAGUAAGUAAUGGUGUCCACAUACUUCAGUGUCUCAUCAACACCCUGUCCAAGCCCUCAGACUUCCUUGAUAAAUUAUCAAGGAAUAAUCUGAGUUGGAAGAGACCCUUAAUGCUCACGUAGUUCAACUCCCCUGCAAUAAACAGGGAUAUCUGCAGCUACAUCAGAUUGCUUCAGCCUGACCUUGAGUGUUUCCAGGGACAGGACAUCCAUGCCAUCCUUACAGUAAAUAGCUUCUUCCCUAUAUCCAGUCUAAAUCUCCCCUCUAUUGGUUUGGAACCAUUUCCCCUUGUCCUGUCACAACAGAUUCUGCUAAGGAGUCUGUCCCUUUCCUUCUUACACUCCCACUUUAGAUACUGAAAGGCCACUAUGAAGUCUCCCCAGAGCCUUCUCUUCUCCAGGCUGAACAGCCUCAGCUCUCUCAGCCUGUGCUCACAGGGGAGGUGUUCCACCCCUUGGAUCAUUUUUGUGGCCCUCCUCUGGAUGCGCUCCAACAGGUCCAUGACUCUCCUGUACUGAGAAUUCCACAUCUGGAUGGAGUGCUCCAGGUGAGGUCUUAGAGGUGGAAAGGAUCAUGUCCCUUGACCUGCUGGCUAUGCUUCUUUUGAUGCAGCCCAGGAUACAGCUGGCUUUCUCGGCUGAGAAGGCACAUUGCUGGCUCAUGUCCAGCUUGCCAUCCACCAGUACCCCCAAGUCUUUCUCAACAGGGCCGUGCUCUAUCUUCUAGUACCUCAGCUUGUAUUUAUAGCGGGGAUUGCCAUGAUCCAGGUGCCGGACCAUGCAUUUGGAUUUGUCGAACCUUAUGAGGUUCACCUGGACCCACUGCUCAAGCCUGUCUAGAUCUCUCUGGAUGGCCUCCCAUCCCUCAGACAUGUUGUUAUCGUGAUGUAUUGGAUGAAUUGUGACACAGGUGAAUCAGGUUUCCAGGCACUGUACAGCAACUGCCUUUAAAUCCCACAUGUAACAAAUCCAGAAAAAAAUUAUGGUUGUUUUUUUUUUUUGGUUUGUUUGUUUUUUAAAUCAUCACUGCAUUAGCCAAGUGCUGUUGUGACCUCAAGUGCUAUCACAAGCAUUUUUUUCAUUAGACAAGGAAACAGGCAAAUGCAAUGAUUUCACCUGGCAACUCAGAUUUAGCGAACAUUGACUGUAAACACACUAAGUUCUAUACUGUAGAGUUGUGUGCAAGGUAGGGCGGUAUGGCUGUCAGCUUGCUAUAUCUUCCUCUCAACAAAAACAACUCGAUUUAAUCAAGAAAACAGAACAUGGCAAGUGAGUGCAGCUUAGAGUUUGAUGUUUAUUCAGUAUCAACGAUCUGCAUUAUCUCCUGUCUUGUCCACGGGACCAAACAUUCAGCAGUGUCUUAUCCAUUGUUUUAUGCUUGUUUUAUUGUAGAUUUGUUUCCUUGCUAGAGUAGACCCAGAAAAUACCAGGUGUGUUUUCGGUGAAAUAAUUCUGAAUCAUCUUCUCUUUUUUGAGGGAAUUGUUUUGCCCUAAGGACCAUUGCAGGAACAUUGAGCUUCUGCCCACAGUGGAUCAGCUCAGUAAAUGAACCUCUGGCAUGAUAUCUGGCGCUUCUGAUUCUAUGGGAAAUCAGCUGCCAGUGCUUUAAUUGCUAGGACCACUGUAAGAUUGCAUGCUUUCAAGGAUUCAAAACCCAAAUUUCUCUCAGUGUUUUGAAUUUUCAGACUUUCUGUGAGAGUUUCUGGAAACCAAAAUUUCAGUACGUUUUCCCCAGAGAUCUCACAGAUAUUUUGAAAGACAAAACAUUUUUAUUUGCCUUAAAAUAGACCCCAGGAGCACCUGGCAAGGACUGGUGUUAUAAAAACGAGAAACAACAGAGCAUCUGAAAGCAAAAAGCAGCCUUGGUGCCAGGCAGCAGAGCACUGGCAGUGACUUGUUGGGCUCUCCCAGCUCAUGCUCAUGGUGCCUAGAACAGCUUGGUUAGGCCUUUGAACUAGGAAAAAAGACUUGCUGCUUCCCAGGCUUUUCCAUACAUGCCUAGCCCUGCCACGUUCAGAAUGUGGCCCCUCCUUCUCUUGUAACCUUGAACAGGAAGGGCUCACAGUGUUCACUCCGACACUCCAACCUGUGUUCAUCCUACCAGAGUUCUUUCUGCCUUCCCUACGUGCAGCAACCUGUCUAAUCUCCAGGCAGUUAGUUGAAGAAGCAGUGCCCACGUUUGUGCAGCUGUGAUGGUAGCUGAGCUUCUGCUGACACAAGCAAGACUGUCCGUUUGAGUCACUGUGAGAGACUGACCUCACCCAGGAUGACUUUUACCUUUAACAGCUGGAGGACUCCUUGCUAAUGUGAGACCUGGCCUUUUUUUUUUUCUGCCUUCCAGCUCAACACACCACAGGCUGAUCAUCAAUAAAGGAAGAGGAAAUAAACAAGAGAUCCUAUUAUUAGUCCAUCACCUGCUCUUUCAUUGCUGCAGGGCUGCUCCUUUCUCUGACUGAAAAGUUUUCAAGAUGUUGUAACACAAAACAUUGCAUCCAGAAGGAGAGCAAGGCUAAGGAAAGCAGUAUGUUCCUCUGUAGUCCCUCUUUGCUCUGUAACAGUAAAACCUGACACUUUCUUGUGGUGAAUGACUAAAUAGUACAUUUGUAUAACUACUUAGCAGAACCAUUUUUCUCACUGAAGACCAAAUAAUUCUGCAAUACUUUAACCCCUGCAUUUUGGCUUGAGAUGUAGAAUCCUCAUCAAUCUCCAAACCUUCAUCAACCUUUUCAUCAAACCCUUUGUCCUAUCUACUUCUACCUGGUCUUACCAAAGAAUUCUGCCUUCUUGUUCCUAGUCAUCUGCCUUUCCACACGCUGGUUUAUUUUGGCCUCAAGACAUUUAUGGACACUUACCUGACAAGCAGGAAAAGAGAAUGGGAAAGAAGGAGCAGAAUUUAACACAGUGACAGUUGCUUCUAAAGCAUGAUGUAGUGAACAUCUGACUUUUUGCUGAAAUUAGUGCUAAGAUGCAGUGAAGCCAGGAUUUCAGGUUAAUAGUCUUGAAAGAAGAAUGACAGCCAUGACAUAGAUUUCUUGACUCUUCUCAUACACUUUUGCACUGGACAUGUAAUUUCCUGUUAAGGUUUACAGGAUUCUUCAAAAGAACCAAACAACAAAAAACACCAAACACCACCACCACCAACAAAAUAAAACCCCGUAGAAGUAAUAAUUAUUAAUUUAUUAUGUUAAAAGAUUUUUCAUAAAGGAAUACUGGAGUCCUUUAUUUAUGAUUUCAUAGUGCCUUUCUCACACUGCAUCUGAAUUAUAUUGCACUGCUUCCAGAAAAUGCAAAGAAAAACUAAAAUGCAGAAAUAAACUCUUAUUUCCAUUUUUAUUAGAGAAGUUUACAUGUUGAUUCAGUGAAUCUAUAAGAAGGAUGUCAUGCUUCAGGAGACAAGAUAGCAGCAACAUAGGUGUGUUAAGGCCCAUGUGCAGACCUUCAUUGGUCUUAUUGUGACCCAAAGAUAGGGAUUUGGAAUCGAUGGCAGUUUUAAUACUGCCUAAAGUCUCUAUCAGCCUAGAGCUGGGUACAACUCAUGUAGAUGUAUCAUACUUUCUGCCUUCCUUGAGGUCUUUAAGACAGAGGAAUUAGCAAACAUGCAAUUUAAGAUGGUAUAAAACAAGCUCCAAGGAGAAUCAGAAUCUCUCCUUUUCGCAGCUAUUUUGUGUCAGACCUAUUUAGUUUCACCUUUAUAGAAAAGAUAAGUCCAGCUAAAUAGCUCACAGUUCUAAUUUUCGUAAGGAAUGAUCCACACAGCUCAAAUAAUAACCUCAGACACAAAUGGCAGAAAGUGAAGCUUGUUCAUGGAGAGUGGCAAAUCUUUGAGUUGUACAUUCAGAGCUAUUUGUCCACAUAGUAAGAAGCACCAUGUUACUAGAUCAAAGGUGGCAAGGGCACAUCUGCAGUACUUAUAAAAUCCAUAGUAGCAGUAUUUACCAAUAAGAGUCUCCAAAUAUUCCCUGUUUUUGAAUCAGAUUAUGUACUAGAACAGCUGCAACAGACCAAACUGCAUAUCCAGUACCUGCUCAUCACAGCCAGUCUGGCAAAAAGACAAAGAGAACAAAUACAGCAAGCUUAAAUCCUCAAUCUUUGCAUCCUCUAUCAGCAACCAAAGCUGAUGGAAAACUAUGAGGUAAAACCAUCAGAAUAUUUAGCUGUAUUACAGCCAGGGCUGUUCAGCCUGCAGAAGAGAAAUAUCCAGGAAGACCUGAUAGUAGCCUUUCAGUAUCUAAAGGGGAGCAACCUGAUCUGGCUGUAGGUGUCCCUGUUCAUUGCAGGGGGGUUGAACAAGAUGGACUUUAAGGGUCCCUUCCAACUCAAGCAGUUCUAUGGUUGUAUGGACUCUGGUGGUUCGGGCACUCGGAUCUUUCCUUUAUGAGAAUCUCCAAGUAAGUGUUUCAGGAAUGUUCACAGCUACUUGUUUUUUACACUGAUGAGACUGAACAACUCUUAAGCUAAACUGGUGAAAUUCAUCCUGGGAAAAUGUGCUAAACCAAGCUUGCAUUUUAAAGAAAGAAUUUGUUUCCAGAAUGUUACUUGUUGUUUAGUGUAUUGAAUAAUUUUGGUCCCAGGGAUGGAGACAGGGUUUUGUUUAUUUAUCUGAAAAUCAGAAUUUUGCAGAGCUGUGCCAAGCUGUAAACUUUUCAAUUCUCUGAUCCUAGCACUCAGCACAGUGUCCAACAAAAGGCUGUACAAAGCCAGAGACCACUCGGGCUUCGCAGUUGCUGGCUUCAGUCGUCUUUACAAUUGUUUAUGUGAAUGCAGACCCAGGAACAGUGGCAUUAUGCCAGACCUUUCCCAGAAUCGCUGAGGGCUGAUACAGCUUCUCAUAUUAAUCCACCUCUGACAGUGCCACAACUGAGAAAACCCAGAGGGUAGCUGUGCCCUGACAGCGUCCCUCUUGCCAUGCCCUACAACACUGCUGGGGUUCUUACUUGAUGGAAAAAAUGAUUUGGCACAGACAGCCUUUGGUCAUCUGGGGAUGCCUUGCUAAGUCUUCUAUGGAACAGAGAUGUGGCCCUCCACGAGUUUUUAUUGUAUUUUACUGAUAACAUCAAAUUCAACAAAGAAACACAGAAUAUUACGGCAAGGAAAAAAAGGAGAUGGGUAUAAAACAGCAAUAAAACUGAAAGGAAAUUCAGUUUUAGAAGUUUAAAUGCUUUCACACAGCUUCACUGCAGAGGCUUGACAGUCAAAUAUUAAACAUUACACCAUCUCACUGAAUUUUAUGUCAUUAUGGUAACAAUGUUAUUAAACUUGAUAUGGCUUUACUUUUAAUUUCAAUGAAACAUAUUUCCUGAUCUUUUCAUAAAAAUGACCUUUGGGAACCAUAACAAUCUAGGCAUUUCUUUAUUUAUCCUGCUGCAUCAGCUAAUACUUCCAAUCAGAAUCUAUAUCAAAAAGAAAAUGAAAGCCCUCACCAUAAUGUUGCUAGCUUGAUGUUUUAUUAGAACAAGAUAAAAGCUGGGUUUUAUGAAAUUACUUUGUGUGUUACUGUGAGCAAGACAGUGUCAGUGCAAUCUGCUUUUGUAAAGAUUACUUUAUAGUCUUUUUGUUUCUUUCCUGUAUUUGAUACCUACUUUUUCUGUUUUGAAAAGUUUACUUUUAUAAUACAGCCUUUUCACUAAGUAAAAAAAAAGCAAAUACAUUUGUGUGAUAUCUAAGCAAGCCACUCUUUUUUUUUUUUUUUUAAAUAACCUUUUCAUGCUUUCCAUGGACAGAACAGCGGUAGUCAUUUCCACUGUUGGUUGAAUUUUAGAGACAGCUGGUAUUGCUGAGAGCCUAUGGGGUCCAUUAGACAACAAGUUGUGCAAGAGUCAGAAAAACUUGAAUCCUGCAUUUAACUCAGUUUUCCCACUGCCCUUCUCUGCACAACACUGUGGAAUUCAUAGAACACAGGAUUUUUUUUACCUCAGUUUUGGGUUAAUGAAAAAAUAAGCCUAAAGGACCUAAAGAACACUGAAAGUAUUGUCUGUACUUAACAGGCUUUGAGAAUGCUCUGAAUAUUUGAAAAUCAAACAGUUCUCUGAGUUGGACCCAGAAAAUGCCAAGUGUCCAAAAAUCACAGGGAACCACUCAAAAUGUGGACUUUGAAAUGCAGGCCAAGCCACAUUGCAAAAGAAAACCACUCUAAUAUUCAUAAAGUGGGGAAAAUGGAAAAUAAUCAGAAAUUCAUCUCAUUUUUGAGAAUAUGUAAAGUGAGAAGAAAAACAUUAAAAAAACAGAAAAGAAAGGAUCCCAUCCAUGCAGCAUUCAGAGUGGAGUUUGGUCAGGAGAAGAAAGGGGAUUACAUUCCACAAGCUGCAUUGCAUUAUGGACUGGAAAUAGCAAUAGAGAAAUAAAGCAAUAAAUGCAUAAAAGUAGGGGAAAAAAGAAACAGUUUUCAGAAUUACUGUAUUAAUUUGGAAUGAAUAUGCACUAGCGAAGUUGCUUUCUAGCUUGUCAGGUGGCCUAAUGAUGAGGAACAGUACUGACUCAAAUUCAUGUAUGAUUAUUUCUUUAUUGCAUUCUAGGUUUUAGUGGAAUUUAGGAUAAAGUUAAAUCUCUCUCACAUUUAUGAUAAGAUCAACAAAAUGAAUUCUUACUAGUGUUUCUUUCCACAGUUGCCUUGAAUUGGCUGGGUGAUCACAAAUGUAAAUUACUCUCUUGGAGUCCUGAGUAGAAAACUGAAUCUCUUGAAAGAAGAUGCAAUAGGAAAAAUUCUUCCUUCACAUGUAACAUUUCCAAGAAGCAUGUUUCUCUGUCAGUGUAAUAAAAGGAAGAAUUAGAUCAAUAAUAUUUUCCAUAAUUUUUUGACAUCAUCAUUUGAUUUUAGGCCUGGAUCUUCAUUAAUGCAGAAAAUGCUAAUUCAUUUUGUUGACCACAACAUCAUGCUUAAAUUAAAUAUUACUUAGCAACCAGUAUUCAGCUUAUUGCUGGCCUGAGAUCAUUCCGACUGUUAGGUCAAAUGAGGAAUUGGGAGAUCUGCGGUACAUAACAGUGGUAAAUAUUGUCCUGCAGAAAUUUACUUUGAUUUACAUGAAGAUGUGUUAUGAUCGCAGCCUGUUUUUUUUACAAUUGAAGCAUACUGGGAAUAGCCUAGACAAAACGUUUCUCCAUGCAACAGCAGAGACUCAACAGAUUCACAAACUAUUAGCUUGUCAGGUUCACACUUUCCAAUAAAAUGCCAUGGAAAUUUAAGCCAUAUUGUAUAAUAUGGCACAAACAUACCCAGUCUACACCCACUCAAGCACUUCUUAUUAGGCCAAAUCUCCCAACAACACACAAAAAGAUUUUUCAGGAGUUGGGAAUGUUUCAUCAGACCAUACAUGUCUAUGAAUAACAAGCUCAGGUUAAGUUGUCAGGUGUAAUGGGAUUAUAAGCAUCAAAAGCACGGAACGAAGGCAAUAGUGGUACAAGCUCUAAUUUUGCUAUUGCUUGAUAGGAGAUGAAAUUCACCAAAAGACGUCUUAACCCCAAAGGAAGCAGGUGGCUUUCCUUGAGCCAGAGUGUCAUCCAUUGUUUUCAAGCGGCAGAGGUGACUGAUAGCAUCGUUGACAUGAAAAAUUAAGGUACUUUUUCCUUCAGAAAAGGCUUGUUUUUCAUAAAACAGAAUAACUGGAUGGAAGAAACCCUUUCUGAGGAGUGUUGGGGGUUUCUAAUGCUGCAUUCCUGUCGCUAUGUGGUGCUGUUCGAAGUUAUAAAGCCGAUCCUCUAGAACCUGCCUAUCUCAGGGUGUUAAGGAAAGGUUUGUCAGCAGGAGGUUGGGAUGGCUUCAGCAUGCACCAUCUACAGCAAAACCACCAAAUGCUGACGGUAAGCAGAUAUUUCUACUCUUGGGAAGGCUUUUUCAUGUUAUCUUUGUUAGUUGUGUUCAAGAUAAGGAGAGAGGUGAAGUUUGCUACUCUGUCCUUGGAGGUUUCCGCUCUCUCCAGAGCCUACAUGUUAGGUUUGGUAAGGGAAUUUGAUGUAAGAAGAUUUUAGGUGGAUGCAGCUAUUUUUCUGGAAGUUGAGUUUCUUUGCAGUGGCUACAACAGGCCAGGAAGAAAAAUUGAGAGUUGUAAAGUUUUAAAAUUAAACUUUAUGGUGCACCUUAUUUAAUAUGCUUUUUUUUUGAAAUCUCUUCAAGGGUCAAGGGUAGCUACUACAGCAAAGAGAAAGGAAAGGAAGAGGGAUAUCUGCAGUAUUGCAAACUCCUAUUUGAACUUGAUAAUGUGCUAAAGAACUUGUAUGAGAGUUUGGUUUUGUUUUUCCUUCAAAGGAGACUACUGAAUCUAUGGCAUAUCAAUCUGUAUUCUUUGUCUACUUGAUCACUCUUUGCUUGCUAAUGAGAAACUGAUGAUUUUUGACUUGCCUCUUUGGAUGAAGUGGGGCUGUAUUUGUAAGAGCAAGAAGAAUUUUUCAAGAACAUUUUAAAUCAUAUUGGAGUCAAAACCAUGUGUCCCUAGGCCAUAGCUUGAUACUCUGUCAGCCAAGAGCCAAUGCUGUAUUCAUCCUUAAAACUGAAAGAAGGAAUGGUCCAUAACUGUUGUGAUGUGGGCAUAGUGGCUCUAAGAAUCUGAAGGGAGUUGACCUUUUUCAUACUAAUGUUCCAUUGCUGCUAAUAAAAAAAAAGAAAAGAAAAAAGUGCCCCCCCCCCCCCCCUUUUUUUCCCCAGAGAUAGGAAUAGAAAGAAAUAUUACUAAUCCUUUAGUAAGAUCUAUGUAUUCUAGUUGCGGUGAAAUGAGAAAGGUCAAAUUUUCUCUCCCAUCUCUCCCUCCCUUUUUUUUUUCAUAUUGUCCAAGUUCUCACCCAUCUUUGUUGUACUAAUGAAAUUAAGAUAUCCUUCAUGAUAUAACUGUGAGCUAGGGAGAUCUAAAUUACCUUCAUCUGGCAUCAUUCCAGGAUACUAUAAAUGAGGUAAUUGUCCUUGACUAUAAAAUUUGCAUUUUCAAGACUUAAUUGCUAUCAUUACAUCUUUUUGUAAUUCUAUUAAUUUAACUGAAUGGAGCAUUUGGUUUUAUGGUAAAAAUUUGCAUUAAAACAUUGUACAUUUAAAUAGAAUUUUAAUAUUUGCGUCAAAAGCUCAGUACAGUUGUCCCACAGGACCUAAAUAAUUUCACAAGAAGAGAAUUGUAAGCAGUCACACUUUGGGUCAACAAACAGGUUUUCCUUUGGUGAAUAUUAAUAUAACUUGCUGUUAGAGACACUAUGUACUGAAAAUCACUCCUGUCCAAGUUCUGUAAAAGCGUCUGUGAGCUCUGAGCCAUAAUUGCUAACAGGAAAUGUAUUUUAACAGCUACACUGUUUGUUCACAGAAAAGAAAUGUGCCAAAGAGCUCUGUAUUAUUAAGGAAUGGUCUUCCUCUUUUGAGUCCUCCUACCCUAGUUAGGCUGUAUGCUUUGUUAUGGCCUGAGAAAUCACUAAGUAUGCAAGCAAUGCCUUCUGUACGAUCGUCUGUCUGCUCAUAGUUGUCUAGCCAUCUUCCACUGUGCUGUUAAAUGUGGUAAUUGGUUAGUAUGCUGGCAUCUUUUUGGGAAAUAUUUACAACCACCACAGGUUGGUGGCCCUGCCUGCAGCAGAGGGAUUGGAACUUGAUGAUCCUUGGGUGUCCCUUCCAACCCAAGCCAUUUUAUGAUUCCAUGAUUCUGUGAUUUGAAGGAACAGAACUUCAUGUCUGGUCUUUGAAGGUAUUUAAGCCACUAGAUCUCAUGGGAAGCAGAUCGUGUGUGGGUCUGGAGGCCCUGUCUUGGAUGGGCACUGCAGGUAAAAAUGAGUACAUGGAUGUGCUGACAGAAUUCCGUGCUGACAGGAUUCCAUUCUGGUCAGAAAAGCCUAUGCUAUUCUCUAUGCUGUCCUGACAGAUGUUUUAGAGUUGUAUAACAUAUUAUUUGUGGAAGUAAUCAAGCUAGAUUUGUUUUAUAUUUAAUGCAUCUGUAUUUUUUUCUCUUGAGUUUUUUUUCCUGCAACAUGUGAGUAAUAUUUUACAAGAGGGAGUCUGCUUGUGACAGAAAUCUCAUUAACUACUCUUAAUAUAUGUUGUAUUUGCUGGACUUCAUAAUCAUUGUGUAAUUAAGCUUCACAACUCACUUGUGAAGCAGAAAAGAUGAAGGAUGUUUUUGUUAAAAAAAUUUAUGGGAUGUUGAAAUUAAAGACAGAUUUCUGAAAGUGUACAGGUACCACUUCUCACUGAUUUCAGUGCCUAAAUACCUAUGAGAGCAUGAAGAUCUUGCAAAACUGUCUAGUGAGCCAUUAGAACCAGACUAAAUUCUGAACUGGGAGAACAGGAUGAAGUCUUAAUGUGAGAUAAUGACUUUGGAGCAAGGGACACAGUUGUUUUGCCUUUUGCUCUUAAGUCUUGAAUGAGAAUCACAUUUCUUCACUUUGGGGACUGUUUGAUAGUUCAGUGUGUUCUGAGAAUACAUUUUAAAUAUGACUAAUUUAAGAGCAGGUACCCCUCCCUUUUUCUUCUAAGUCCAUUUACAUAUACAGUAUUUCUAUAGAGGUUUUUGUCUCCACUGGAUUCUGAGUUUCACGGACUGGGGAAAAAGGGCUGCUGAGAGCUACAGCUCAGCGUUGAGCCUCCAAAUCCUACAAGCAUUAGAUCUACAAUGCAGUUAGAUUCAGAGCUGUCUUUUUGGGCAUGUGCACAGGGUAAGAAGUCUCCCAGGGUAUCUGUUCUACUCAGAGGCUGUCUUUUCCACUUCAGGGAGGACCCUGUGUAUGUUCUUUCUUAACGGGUGAAUUUCAUUUGAUCUGAACAUUAUGCUAAGGCUGAAUUUCUAGGCAGUUUAUAUUAUAUUGCAUUAGGAAAAACAAACAAACAAAAACGCUUAUUCCUUUGAAAAACCCAGGUCUAGCUGUUAGCGUCAAUUACUUUAAGCACCUACUGAAUUUUCUGGCAUAUAUAUCUCAUCGAAUCUUGGGCGUGAUUUUAUGUGCUUUAAGCAUUUGAUCACAUAAUCAGUUUCUGCAAUGCAACACACAGAAUCCUGAGCAUUGUCCUGGCGGAUAGUCACGUCAAACCUGACACAAACAAACAUAAGGGAACAAUUGUUGUUAAAACACAUUGCAUCACAUUGCAUGUUAAAGCAUUUGCUCUGGUAAUCCACCAUGCUGACGUUUCCCUAUGCUGAUGCCAUCUGAGCAGGGACUGUAUCCUUAAAGUUGACAUGUGCAUCACAUUACAGCAGUGAUUUUGUUAUGUAUCAUUGGCAUAAUGGAUAUUCAGAAGAGAUUCAUAAUCUUGAAAGGUGGCUUGAAUCCACAGAUCUCAUCCAUAUUCUGGUGACUCAGAGCAUUGUGGAAACUCAUUUUAUAACGUCUCACGCUAUCUUGGGCAAAAGCAAAGUAAACAGUUGCCUAGAGCAGCAGACUUGGGAGAAAUGCUGUCCGGGUCUUGUUUCCUACUCCCUCUUUGCUGACGAAGAUAGGAGCAAAAUCUCUUUAACCUGCUUCUCCUGUGCCCCUCCUGCUCCCAUUUCUCCAGUUUAAUUCUGGUGGAAAUCCAGAGGCCUUUUUCUUCCCUCUCCCAGUCUCUUCUUCUCAUUCACUGUUACUCUUAAGUUGCUGAUUUCUCCAGACUCUUCUUCUCCUUGGAGUCUCCACUGCUUCUACUUAGGGUGUUUCAGCAGUGAGAGGAUUCACUGUCCUUUCUGCAUCUUUUUCUACUCCUGCAAAUAUUUGUAUUCCUUUUGGUAGCCUGAGCUAUGUGAGAAACGCACAUUCCUGCACAAAAGUAUUCUGGCUCACUUGCCUAUUGGUAGCUGUUCCUUUAAAAGAGCUUUUUCACACUGGAAAAAAACAGACAGACAUGGAAAUCUUUGCUGUAGUGCUCAUGUUUCAUGAGAUUAAACAAGACAAAAGUAAGAUGAUGUCAGCGUAUUACUGAAUCCCUGGGAAGGUGUGGCCUGUGCUGAUGGCAAUGCUAUUCACACAACAUAGAAGGCAAUUGCAGAGUUCAUUGCCAUGGGAUGUUAUAGAAGCCAAAAGGCAAGGGUGGCAAAUCAUUCCAUAAAUGGCUAUUAAAUGUAAUUAUCUAGAUGCAGUGUCAAGCUCAGGAAACACCUUUAACAGUGGUUGCCAGAAAGCUAUUUGGCUAUAUCAGUGCAAGGAUCAUCUUCUCCAUGCUCUGCCCUUGCACUAUCUACAGCACUGACUGUCACUCCCUCUAUUCCUGAGAUGUGAUACUCUGCCAAAUUCACUUUUGGCCAUGUCUGUAUCAUAGGCUUUUGUUCUCAUGAGUUGCAUGACUAAAGAGACUAAUAAUUAGAUCGAAUCCAUUGUCUCUUCAUCCAGAGACUUUUAAGUUUUAACAUACGACCAAGAGUUCCUGCUUUAACAGUGCUAAGGUUUGAGCUUUCAGUCCGUAAGUCAGAUGUGCCUAAUGGUUAAGGUGUACUACCGCAGAGUUAGUAAUCUGAAAGUUAACUUAUUUGAAAGAGAAGAGAAACCUACUCCACAUGGCAGUUCCUCCUGUGUGUUGAAAGCUUUCCUUAGCAUGAGAAAAAUUAUCAAGAUUGAGCCUUCUACUUCUCUUAUGACUUUUGUACUUUUGUCCAGUGAGCUUGGUAGCUUUGUCUGCAAAAUGAACAGAGUUCAGAGAGAAAAUGCUAUUUGUUCUUCCAAGCAAGAAAGCAAGUUCUUAGGUGGUAUGCAUGGGUGUUGUUCAUGCAUGUCCUACGUGUCCUUCCUAAUGGAUUUAUUUUUUCUUUGUCUCAAAGCUUUGGAUUGCCUUAACUUGCUGUAUUUGUCCAAUUCCACUUCCUUCUGGCAUACAUGUUAUAUACUCAUUCUUACUACGUGCACCAAAAGAAGCUGCAGAGAUGUGCCACCCUUAUACAGUAACAAAACAGCAACUUUCCUCCUGCAACUUCCUUAAAUCAGCAGAUUGGCUGUUUGAAUUAUCACUUACCAGAGUGAUGACAGAAGUCUGUGGAAGGCUUCUUCCAUGUUGGUAUAUGUACAGCAACUAUAUACAAAAGAGAGCUGCAGAUCUUUCACUCAUUUGACUCAUUAUUUUUGCUUAAGGAAAAACAUGUUGAAGUCAAGCUUUCAGUCAUGUUAGAAUGCAGCCCAGUACUUUGAUGUAGUGCAGCUUGUUGAAUGCUCCUUUGGAGAUUGAUAUGUCUCACUCCCGAUAUCUCAAAACAACCAUAAUUUUUUUGGAUGGUACUCAUCUUUAUUUUUCUGGCAAAAGAUCUGGAAGCAGGUAAGGAUCAUACUGUAUGUUCCUUGCCCUGUUGAAGAAAGGGACAGGUAGUUGUUGCUUGUUCUUAGUGAAAACAUAUCACAGGAAAAAUGGCCCUAUGAAAGCAUUUCUAAGAGUUUACUGAAAUAACAGUAGCUCUUACAGAAAUAAAAAUCUAUCUGAAAACAAGUUUUUCAAGUUGUACUGAUCAUCUUCUCAGAAAAUUGUAGUCAAGUUUCUGAAGCCAUAAGUGUUGCCUUCAUCUCUGACAAAUGAAGUAUCUAAGUCAGCAGCCCAAAGUGAAUUCUGUGUGCAAAGAGGCAAGGAAUUCUUGAGAAUCUCAAUAAAAGUUACAGUCUCCCUUUGAUUAGUGGAGGUUGGAGAGGAAAGGGAAUGUGUGACCAUUCAUCACAGCUCCAGGCUCAUUAGUACCCAGGAACUUUCUACUCUAAAUGACAAAGAGUUUCACCGUCGCCAAAGAGAAAUUGCUGCUGACCUUAGACCUCUUUUUGGAAAGUAAAAUAAUGGAGCACAGGAGCAGAGUUUGAUAUUUGACUGAAUUCUACACAAUUAUCAUGCAUGUGUAUAUAAUAAAAUUAAUUCUGUGUCUCUGCAUUGUAGCCUCCGGCAAGCAGCGUACAAUCAGUUUUGUAUGUAUAAUAGAUCACAGAGUUGUUCAUGAAUAAUACAAAUGCAUUGAGCAGAUACUAGUGAGUGAGGAUGUUUGUCUUUGCAUGGAAUCGAAGUGAACAUGUAAUAUUGUGAUAAUAUAUAUUUGAUGAAUUCAGGUCUGACUUGCCUUUGCCAUAGCCUGCUAAUUCCUUGACAAGGGUUGCCACAAUAAUUGAGUUUCCAAUAACAUUAUGAUUAUUUCCACAUGAUAAUUUAAUUGUAGGUAUUUUUUAAUAUUGUAAUAAUGUAGAUUUGUGAUUAUUAUGCAUUUGCAUGCAGAUUUUCAUGGUGACUUGGAGCACAUCCCUACAUUUAUAACUUAAUUUCCUAUAUUAUUGCAAAUAUAUUUUGGGAUGAACUCAUUAAUGCAAACUAAGGAAAAAAAAGGUCUUUUUACUUGUUUUGCCUUUAUUAUAAAUGGCUGAAAGCUUUGCUCAUUUUUUUUUUAGACCAGUCUAAACAAGUGAAUAAACAAAAGACAACUGUAAUUCACGGAUGGAUUAAUUUAAAAUAAUAAUAUAAUUACAAAUCGUGGCAGAUUUGUCUGAGGUAAUCAGGCUGCAGACUGGUACAAAUUUUUCAUUUGUGAAACAAAACUUGUUUAGAUUAAUCACCAAGUUUCAUAUGGGCUAUUUUCCAUUCUUCCAGUUCCCCUAUUUAAGGCACUGGCAAAGUAACUUCGGCUAAAAAUUAAUGGAUUCCUAUAUGAGUGGAGGUAGCAACAGCAAUGCCUGGGCAUCUGGAUCUAACUAGGUAUUAUUUUGUCACAUGGUAUGCCCCACAAGAACCGAAUUAGGUAUAGAGAGUCAUGAUGCUAGCAGAGCUUUUAACUGUUUCUUUUGGUCUUCUGUGAAAAGAGGCUGGUUACCUUGCUGCUAUCAGCCUUUAAAAGUACCUUAGAGAAUCUUUCUGGAGACACAGAGAGGGGCAAAGGGACAUAGCCAUUUCCCUAGAAAUAAACUCCAUUCUUAUUAACUGGAGCAGAUAUUCAUAUCAUCCUAUUAGCAUCCUGCUUCAGAUAAGAGAGCUCUCUUCCAGUCAUAUCUAAAAUUUGUUUUUAGCACAGUAUUCUUCUAUUUUGAAGAGAAACUUUCCAGAAGUGGUUACAUGGAGCUUAUAUGUUGGUCCUUCUACAACAUGUACUUGAGAAAAAUGAAAAUCUUUGCCAUGUUUUAUCUGUAAAACCUCAGGUCUUCAAACGGAACCCCAGAGUCACAAUGGUGGAAGAGUUCCUGGCCUCCUCCAGGUUAUCAGUACCUGGCAGGAUGCAUUUUCAUUGCCUGCACAGCAGGCACGUGCAAUAGGAGCUCAGAAAAUACCCCCAUUUUUUGACGUGGAUGUCUGUAAGUAAGGACUGAAAAAUAUAAUUUACAGCUAUCCUUUUGCAUUGCUCUUCAAUAUGGGCAAAAUCUGUUGGUUUCAUUGUAUUUGCGCAUGCUUCUACUUUGGGUGUAUUCUCUAAAUUAACUAUGCAGAUCACACGGUGAGACCUGUACAAGUCCCUUCUCUUCCAUCUUUUCUUGCUAUGUGGUCUUAAGGCUUGUACAGAAAAAUAAAAGCUUGUCCUAGACAGCAAAAAGAUCAGCUACACAAAGGUUAGGAAUUGCAAGAGUUCAGGUUUUGGCCCGGAAACUGAAACUUGCAAUUUCUUGACAUCUGGGAUCCUUUCUUGCGGAGGAUAGAGGGCAUUCAGUUCAACUCCAUUCAGCAGAAGUGGAUUUGCAUCCAGGCAACAGUCAGUAGUGUGAGGGGUAAGAUGGCCUCUCUCUGCUCCUAUGCUGUGACUUGAGGGCAAUUGUAUUUGCUGCUUUGCUUUCAGUACUUAAGAAGGAAGUGUUUAGCAUCAGGUCGCUUGGAAGGCUUCUUCUGAUGUAAAAUAAUUUGUUGUUUCUGUUGUGUCACUUCAGUCAAGGAGAACAAAAAAAUGUAUAUACAUAAUGUUUAGUUUUCUCGCAACUGUUUUUUUUCUGUUUGUGAACUAGUGGGAACAUACAGCUUCUGUGAGGUAGAGGUGUGGCCUCCUGUGCAUAGACUGACAUUUCCCAGCAUGUUUUGAAGGAAAGCAUUCUUCAAAAAUCAUUUGAGUAAGGAGCUAUUUAUACAUUGCUCAUUGUCCCUUGUGCUUGAAAAUAUGUGGUUCAUACCUACUAGCUGUUCUUCUCGUAAUGGUGAAGGUUUAUUGGUCAUAAUCCUGAAGGUCCCCUGUGUAUCAAGUGAUCGCUGAUUGUAUUGAAAAGGAAUGCUUCUGUGGUAGCAGGCAGCCCUUGGGUUGAAAGAGGUGUCCCUUGUCCCUAAGCAAUAACCUGUACAGAUGAUCGAGACUUGUUGAUAGACCUCCACGGAAGUCUUGCCUGGUAGCUGGGGCUUGGCAGUGUCUGACUCAGUGAGGGAUCCUUCUGUGCAGGAUGACUAAACUUGAUUUGUUGCCCUCAUCAAGGAGGGCAUAAAAGUAGGCAAAAACAGAACAUGCCUUGAGGACCAGGCAGAUGCAGAUUUACUGCAACCUCUGUCUUAUGAGUGGGAGGAGGUAGGUAGAAUUUACAAAGUACAAUUAUUGACUAAUUGCUUCAUCGCUGAGUCUGGUAAGGAAUCAGUGAUAUGUCUCCUGAGAGAUCAGUGGUGUCACCUCACAUGUCCUCAGGGUGCCAAGUGGUAUAAAGCGCUCACUUUGAAAGCACUGCACCGUGAUAAGCUCCAACUCCCAAGGGAUGUAUUGUGUGUACAUUUUGUUAUCUAUAAUGACACGCUGAAAAGGUAAUGAAACUGUUAAGGGAACGCUGCGUGCCUAAAAAGAACAUAUUUUUCUUUGAACCAAUAAGAGAGAGAAAGUCUUUCAGAAAAGCAGUUAAAAUAAUAUCAUUUAAAUGUAACAAGUGAUAAAAUACUAGAGAGAAUUCACCUGUCAAAUGAAAAAGUUUAAGACAUGUAGUCUUCUGUGUAACAUACACAUUUCAGAUUGGACUGUUUUCCUGGUAAGGCAACAGACCUCUUCAAAGAAGUUGAUAUAUAUAUACAAAAUUUUGAAUCUGACACAACUGGCAUAAUGGAAACAAUUAUUUUAGAAAGUGGAUAUGAAGAAUAAAUCAUAAAAUAUAGUCAUUUCAUGUAGUCAUUCUUUACAUUAUAUGAGACGCUAUGAGAUUUAACAAGACCAGAGUUGUGAGACUCUGGGAGGUUUUCAGCAAAGGUGAUUUUGUAAUAAAAUAGCUCAGUGCAUAUAAAAAAGAAUACCCUUAGAGAUGUCUAACAACAAUAUUUUGAAAUUAGACUAAAAAAGGCUCAUGUUCUCUUCAACAAAAUUCCGUGUGGACAUAUUCAAAAUUUUUGUAUGGCCUCAGUGUGCUUGGGACCAUUUUCCAGUAGAAAUGUUUUUUACUUACAAUAUGUAUGGAAAUGUACGUGAGUGUUUUCUUUUGUUUCUAAUGCGAAAGCAGAUGCCUUCCCUAAACUUGACACAGAAUGAAAUCUGAGGAUAUGAAAUCCCAGUCAGCAAAGUGACAGAGCAGUUGGGCAAAUGUGUUUUAGAUGAACUUUAAAUGCAAAAUUCAAAUUGUACAAAUAAUCUAUUUGUUGUUAUUCAGAAAGAAACAAAAACUCAUAAGAAAAGUGAAUUGGAUAGAAUAGUAUGAUCGUAUCUUCUAUUACCUCAGUACUGGCCAUCAAUCACUGUCAGUUAAUUAUCAUUAAGAUUGCAUAAAAAAGGCUCCUGUGGGAGCUGGAUGGUCUGUGAGGUUCGUUCUUUCAUUAAAACAAGGCAAACAACAUAAGCUUUCUUUUUUUCUUCCUUUUUUCUUUUUUAUCCCUCCAUCUGAGCCUUUUGUAUAUAAAGAGAUGAUGUGGGGAAGGUGAAUUUUGAAGUGAGUAAUUGUGCUGAGUUACCAUAUAGAUGGCAGGGGCAAGGUAUUAGAACAAAGGAUUCAAAAUUGAAGUAGUCAUUUGUUGGGAAAUUUAAAGAAUUUAAAGUUGGUGUGUUUUUUUUUUUUUUUUUUUUUUUUUCCUGAAAAAACACCCACAAAUAGAGCCAGACAGUAGCAUGGCACUUUCUAAAGUCAAAGCUUAUGAGUUCUUUUCUUAGUUUUCACUUCAUAAUUAACUGGGCUGCUUUUAAGCCUCCAGGGUUUAUACUUUUCAAUGAAACAUACAGUUUGGAAACUUCAGUUUUAGAAAAGAGAUAAAAGUUACCCAACUCCAAAGCGUGAUUCUUUGACAGUGCGCUAGACAUCCUGAAAAUUAGUGUGAGUCGCAAAUACAGAAACUUUCAGAGUUUAUCAGCUAAUCUAGGGGACUCGUGCACUUAGCUGCUUGACGGUGGCAGGAACAGGAAUGCACUAUAGGACAUAAGCAGCUACUGUUAUUUUCAUGGUAUUUCCCUGCACUGCUAAGCAGCAGUUCAGUUCACACUUUUUGAAGUGUCAAGGUUCAUUGAUGGUGCUCUUCAGCAUCACAGACUGAGGCUAGUACUUGAGUUCUGCACAACUUCUGCCUUUAACAUGAAGUUGGCAUUGAAUCAGCUCAUGCUUGCUCAUCGUAAGGACCAUGAAGUUAUUGUGGCAAAGCUCUCUGUUAUGCACAAGAACAAGUUAAAGACUGAAACCUUCAGGACCAAAGACCUCUUCUCCUCAGUAGGAUAAUAAAUUCAAAAUACACGUACUUUUCAUUAGCCAUGUUUAGGCCAACUGCCCAAACAAACUUAAAGUCGGAGUAAAUGCAAACAAAACUAAUAAAUCUCAAAACAGAAUGAAGUCUUCAGCAAUGGUGACCAAUGAGAAGUAGCGAGUGACUUAAACAAGAGUGGAACUGCCCCAGUUAGGGCUGUUCAGGCUGAAUAUAGCCCUUCAGUUCAAUCUAUCUGCCCCUUGUCAACCUCUUUCUCCUGGGGAGGCCUUUUUGUCUGCAUCUAUCCAGUUUGCAGGCAGCACUUAGUGUAUGAUGGGCAGCUAGAUGGUUGCAAGGUGGAGAUAUGUGUUAAGAUUGGAUCAGGUAACUCACUGUGUGUGCAUCCCAGUUUUCUUUAUUGGCCAUUUGCUGACAUGAUGGAAAAGACUGUACUUUGGUUAUGAUCUCAUCAAGGAAACUGGUUUAUACUCUUAUAUGUUUGGUCUCUGUCAUGUGUUGAGUUUUUCAUUCUUAGUUGGCUAUGCUAAUAGAGAAGGAAGGUCUUCCAGUGUCUGUUUUGUUUUGCAAGAGGUGGGACAAUGUUAGCAAGUCUGGAAAGUACAGAGGGAAGAGUUAGGCCACAGCAAGAAGGGACAGUGCAUCUUGAAAGAAAACUGAGAUGGAAACCCUAACCUCUUCUAAUUUACAUAUGGUGACAUUUUGCAGAAAUAUUGUAACAUUAGCAGUGGCAUAAUGAAAUUCUGCCUAUCAGCCGUGGAAGAAAUAAUGUUACUAUAGAGGUAACCUGUUCACAGUUUGUUAUCAAGAAAAUAUUCAUGCCAAGAAACAUACAUUUACCAAUGAGUGUUAAGAACAGUGGUUUUUUUCCUUAUAUUUUUUUCUUCGUGGGCUAUCCAUCUUCCCCUCCAGAUUUACUGCAUGAUCACUCCCUUUACAUGCUAAUUAUGUGCAGCUCUGGUGAAUUUGUUAGUAGUGACACUUCGGGCACCCAGUGGGACUGCAACUCAUUAUGUGGCAAUGUCCAGAUAUAUCAGAUAUUAUUAGCUGUCAUUAAUCUGCUGUGGAAACAUUGAGUGCACAGCCAGGAGAGAGACCAGGAAAUAGAGUAAAAAUGAAGUCUGCAACUGCCCUGGCCCCCAAAAGGUCAGAGAGCAAAUCAGCAGGAGAGAAGAAUACACCUUAAAAUGGCCAGUGCUUAGUAGCAGAUUUUUAACCCAUUGUAAACCAAUAUUUCUCAGCAUAGGAAAGACAAAAAGAAAUGAUGCUGUUUGUAAUGACUGUAUGACUGUGCUUUACUGCUGGAGGAAGGAAGACAUUCUCUCAAACUACUGCUUUCUGAGGGGAUAUUGUAGAAUCACAUCUCAGAAAGAACAAAAGUGUGUGAAGAGAAGGAAGAGUAAGCAAAUAGCAGUAUUUAUCUCAAUGUGGAUAGCACCAAAGCUCAAAUCUUUGAAAUUACACACAUGUAAUUCAGCAUAUGGCUUGGCCUUCUCUACGUUUGAAGGUAAUGUUUUAUAGAACCAGACUUGGCAGCAGCAAAAAUCCUGUGGGAAUCAAGAGCUUGCUCUUGCUGUUCAUAUAGUUCUGGAAUUACAUGCCUGUGCUCACUAGUGCUCACUAGCAUUUGUUAUGCAGCUUAAAAACAAAAAUCAGGAUACAUUUUUGGCAUCAAUUCUGAGAAGCCGUCACUUAUAAUAGUUAUGCUUAUCUGUGAUUAUGUAGCAUUAAUUACAUUGCUUCGGUAGCAGCAGUAAAAAUGAAG
ensembl:lncRNA